AACGAACGCUGGCGGCAUGCCUAACACAUGCAAGUCGAACGAGACCUUCGGGUCUAGUGGCGCACGGGUGCGUAACGCGUGGGAAUCUACCCUUGGGUUCGGAAUAACAGUUAGAAAUGACUGCUAAUACCGGAUGAUGACGUAAGUCCAAAGAUUUAUCGCCCAAGGAUGAGCCCGCGUAAGAUUAGCUUGUUGGUGGGGUAAUGGCCUACCAAGGCGACGAUCUUUAGCUGGUCUGAGAGGAUGAUCAGCCACACUGGGACUGAGACACGGCCCAGACGCCUACGGGAGGCAGCAGUGGGGAAUAUUGGACAAUGGGCGAAAGCCUGAUCCAGCAAUGCCGCGUGAGUGAUGAAGGCCUUAGGGUUGUAAGGCUCUUUUACCAGGGAUGAUAAUGACAGUACCUGGAGAAUAAGCUCCGGCUAACUCCGUGCCAGCCGCCGCGGUAA
rnacentral:rRNA from 1 species